UUUUUUUUUGGAUAUAAAACAGUCAUUUUCCCCUUCCUCCUGAAAGUCGGGAAACAACCACUAGGCAGUUGUAUUCUUCAAACUUGCGUACCCACGGUUUGUAGGCACUGCGGAAAAGAAAGGGACACAUAAAGUCUAUUUUCCUGCUUUCAAGGAGCAGACUGAACGGAGAAUUCCAUUCACUCAUGUGUUCAUGAUUCCGUUUAUUUAUUUUCAUUCCGCUAACAUCACCUUGGCUUUCUCUCUGUACUAUGCACAAAAGUGCUGGAGGUUUGAAACUGGGCUGUGCUCUCAAGCAAACUCACAGUGUAAAAAGCAACAUCCUGAGUUGCAACAUCAUUGAAUAUCAUUUUCAAGUCCCUUCCUGACGGUAUGCGUUCUGAGCAUUUGAGAAUAAUAUAUAGAAAUCAGACCGUGAGUUGCAUGAUGCAGGUGAAAGACCAAAAGCCUUGGAAUCUACACCCAAAUGACUGUGUUGAUGUCACCAGUAAGGGAACGAAUGAGCAUGAAGCAACACACUCAGAAAGACGUUAUGUGUAUAAGUGUAACUGAAUGACUUUGCUGUAUGCCUGACACUAAUAUAACACUGUGAGUCAACUAUACGUCAAUAAAAAUUGUUUUAAAAAGUCAUAACGUCACUUCUGGGAUUCAUCUGCCAAAAAUGUACAGCCUGAAUUUAAGAGUGAGGAAUGAUAAGACAAACCCAAAUCCAAGGGCAUUUUGUAAAGUACAACCAGCUUGUUAUAUUCCCUUCAAAUUGUCAAGGUCAAGAAAAUCUUAGAAAAGUGAAGGAACUGUUCCAGACUAAAGGAGGAUGAGAACUAAAUGUGACAUGUGAUUCUGGAUUGGAUUCUAGACCCGAAAAUGGACAUGGAUGGGACAUUCAGUAGAGUUGAAAUAAUUAGAUCAUAAUAUUACUUGUUAAUUUUCUGAUUUUUAUAAUUGUGCCAUGUGUAUGUAUGAUGUUAUCAUUUGGGGAAUCCUGGGGGGGGGAGGGUAUGUGCAAAUUUAGCGGCUUUGCUUCUGCAAGUCAAGUUAUUUUGGAAUGAAAAGACAAACAAAAAGGCAGGUUGGAAUGCCUGCUCACUGCUGUGUGUCCUUGGGCAAGUUACUUCACCUCUCUGAGCCCUUGUUUUACCUCCUAUUAGGUGGAGCCAUGCAAAGAUUUGGGAAUAAAAACAUUUUUAAAAUAAGGAAGUCAUCUGAAAUAAGUGUACAUUUACUCAGCUGUAUGUCUGCAUAUGUUACUUCUUUUUUGAUUUUUUUUAAUUUUAUUUUUUGUAUCUCUCUCUUUUUAGGGCUGCACCCAUGGCUUGUGGAGGUUCCCAGCCUAGGGGUCCAAUCAGAGCUGUAUCCACCAGCCUACGCCAGAGCCACAGCAACGUGGGAUCUGAGCCGCAUCUGCAACCUACACCACAGCUCACGGCCAUGCUGCAGCCUUCACCCACUGAGCAAGGCCAGGGAUCGAACCUGCGUCCUCAUGGAUGCCAGUCAGGUUCCUUAACCACUGAGCCAGGACGGGAACUCCAUAUGUUACUUCUUAAUCCUUAAAACCAACAAACAAAACCUGGACAUAUGUGAAGGCAAGAGGAGCAAAGCCAUCACUGCACAUCACGCUAGGAUGGAGGCACAAUUUGAACUCAGUUCUAUUUGAUUCCAAACAUCAGGUUCAGAAAGAAAGAAAGAAAGGGCGAUUGCUGUGAUGAUAACACUCUUGAACCAAUGCAAGACCCUGGGAGGAGGAGAAGGGGAGCAAAAGCCUCCGCAAUCAAACAGGAAAUGUGGCCAAGAGGAGAUACAAUCUUAAAGACACAACCGCAAGGAGUCUAAAAAAAAUUGGCAACCGCAGCCCUAUUCUGCCAGGAAUUGGCCCACGACGUCUGAAUUUUCUCCUCUUUGUCAGUAAGUGCUUGUUAACCAUCCAAAUGGCUGUGAGAGCCGCCUGUGUGCCUCGCUUUGGAAGCGAAAGUGUAAACAAGUGCGACUGCACAGGUGGCAUCCUGGGACACCGCGUGUGCCACGAAGCCAGAGCCCAUCAGGUCCCCUGUCACCUCGAGACAGCUCAUUUGCCAUCUGGCCUGCCAAAGCCCAGGGCUCUGUGUUUGACAAUAGUUGGAAAAUCACAGGGCCCAGCCUUCCCCGCCCUCGCCCAGUGGGCACCCCCCCCACCCCCCGCAGGGCGCUUAGCGCGGGGCGUGCGUGUGUUCUUCCAGACACGGCAGCCAAACCCGCGGACCCCCAACUCUCCCACGGCCACAAAGCAUUUCCAAGGCCCUUAAUCCAAGAGGCUAUUAAGUUACACCCCACAAGUCACCAUCUGGCUGGGGGACUUCCCACAUGGGUGGGUUCUCCUGGUGCCUCUCAAAUGACAGGGGCUUGGAUGUCAGUCCCCGAUGACAGUUGCAGAGACACCCCCCCCAUGCCCCCCUCCCAGUUCGCCUCCUCCCCUGUGCUCCAGUCAGGUCUCCAUGGUUUCAAAGGGAAAGGGGACAAGGUGGGUAUUGGGGAAUUCGCACUAAUAGGACGCCUACUAUGUGCCAGCCCCUCUUGGGCACUUGCGGCAUUUAGCUCAGGUCAGUGCCAUAAUAACAUGCAAUAAGAGCUAUUGUGCCCAUUGUACAGAUUAAGAAAUCAAGACUGUCACUCAUUAAAGCCAAAUCAGAGAUUUCAAGGCAAGGUCGUCUGACUCUAUAAAAACCACAUAAAUCACGCUCUGUCCCCGAAGGGCGAAGCCUCUAAUAUCCUUGUCUUUGAUCUCCCCACUUGGUUCUCAGCAAAGUCUCCCCACAUUUCUUGCCAACAGGACAGUACUGGAGGAGGAACUAUCACUGAUUUAUGCACACCCUGGCGCUGCCUGCCUGCCUGGUGCCCCGGACAGUCUCCUCCCCAUCCUUGGACAAGGUGGCAGCUGCCCUAUAAAAGUGCACAGGGCCCCCCUCCCACCCUCCAUCCUGAACUCUCACAGCCACCCUUGUCCCUGCUGUCCAUUCUGUUGCUGGGUGCUGGCUCUUGGGCAGCCAUUCCAGAUGGGUGCCCUGAUCAGGCUCGUCAGCUCCCACAUGCUGACUUCUUGACUUGGUUCAGGGCC
rnacentral:lncRNA from 1 species